UGAUGAUUAUACCUGUGGGCGGCAACAAAUCUACUUGUGAUAGACCUGGCUUUGAAUUGCUGCUAAAACUAAAAUGUCCAUAAGGAGGAAAAUCAUCUCUCACUGUGGAUAAGUCACUGAAGGUGAUGGAAUCGUACAAGCACGCACCUUGACAGGUGGAGAUGGUCCACGCCGCAGACCAGUUCCCUCAGACACCACCAUGUGGACUUUCCUCUACAUCAUCUGAAGAGGUCAACCCACUACUAUUGUGGAAGUCAGGCCACUGAAUCAAUGGCCAACUGUGGCUUUUAAGUCAAGAAUGUAAGGCGCUGGAGAAAUAUCACCGCUGGAUAUCCCUUAAUAUCUUUGUCAGUGCGAAAAACACACCAGCAACACCUGAAUACAAUGCAAUAUAAGCCAUAGUCCCUGCCCUAGAGGAACUGGUUAAAAGAGAGAACGUAUAAACUGUGAAAAAACUGACUCAUGUCAACAGUG